UCCAUUUCUUUAUCGUUUAAAACUUAUUUAAAAUGCAUUUAUGUAAAACGGGUGCAGAUGCCCCUAGGUUCAGAUUUUUUUUUUGAGACAGUCCCUAAUGCACUCUCCUAUCAGAUCGGGCCUCGUGCCGGCCCAAAAAUCCAAGGUUCUGAGCCUCUGGCGCUCUCACCCACCCAGCUCGUCUCCCUCACUGACACCGCCGCCGCCUGCGCUCUGCAUCUCUUCACGCCUCGCAAUAAUGGAAGUCCAUUGCUACACGCUUGGGCUCUUCAUCUCUUUCCUUUGUCGCGCCAUAUAUAGGAUGUCAAAUGGACCUUGCUAGAACGCGUACGAACUUCUCUCCUCACUGGCAUAUAUCAGCUCAAUGAAGACUCGGAAACCAAACCCAGCGGCAGGCUCGCAAAACAGAUCCGCAGACCAAGCUGAAGACUCUGAUUCAGCCAAGGAGCUUGAGCGACUCCUGUUCUUCCUCUGCUGUCCCUGGUGAGCCAAGGAAGAAACACAAGAUGCUGGAGUCCAGGAGCUAGAGACCCCGAGGAUGCUUCUACGUGGAGU